UCAGUACAGGUGGUGCAUGGCUGUCGUCAGCUCGUGUCGUGAGAUGUUGGGUUAAGUCCUGCAACGAGCGCAACCCUUAUUCUUAGUUGUUUCCCUUUCGGGAUUACCUCUAAGAAGACUGCCUCGGAUAACGGGGAGGAAGGUGGGGAUGACGUCAAGUCCGCAUGCUCCUUACGUCUAGGGCUACACACGUCCUACAAUGGGGUCGACAAUGGGAUGCAAUAUCGCAAGAUGGAGCCAAUCCCCAAACGGCCUCUCAGUUCGGAUUGUAGUCUGCAACUCGACUACAUGAAGUUGGAAUCGCUAGUAAUGGCAGAUCAGCAUGCUGCCGUGAAUACGUUCCCGGGUCUU
rnacentral:rRNA from 1 species